rnacentral:rRNA from 1 species
UACGGAGGGUGCAAGCGUUAUCCGGAAUCACUGGGUUUAAAGGGUGAGUAGGCUGCUGCAUAAGUCAGGGGUGAAAGUUUGUCGCUUAACGAUAGAAUUGCCUUUGAUACUGUGCUGCUUGAAAUUAGGUGAGGAUGGCGGAAUGUGACAUGUAGCGGUGAAAUGCGUAGAUAUGUCAUAGAACACCGAUUGCGAAGGCAGCUGGCUAACCUAAAUUUGACGCUGAGGCACGAAAGCGUGGGUAGCAAACAGG